rnacentral:lncRNA from 1 species
AUGAUACAUAAACGAAUAUCACAUCUUUAAUAUAUAAUGGAUUUCUGUACAAAAUAGUUAAAUAGUUACAUCAUACGAAGACAACGAUCCAACAACCAUAGUUGACUGGGAGACGACGACCUAGACCUCUCACGAACUCAUCGCGACAUCCUUGAUGCUCCUCAUCAUGCAGUACCUGUUCUUGACCUGGGGGAUGUGAGUACAGCAAAGGUGAGCUCGCAUACAUUCAUCGCUCAACAAGUUGUGGGGAAUAAUGUGCAUGAGCUCACUUACAGUGGGGCUAAUGUGAAGUGUAAGGCUUACCAAAGGAGAUGGUUAAAACUGAGCAUUCCUUUUAGAUUUGGUCAAAAUUUUAUUAACAGUUACUAAGUAUAAGUAGAUAUCAACCCAAAUAAAGAAGUGAAAGUUGCAUAGAGGGGGGUGAAUAGGCGUAAUCUGAAAUUUACAACUUAAAAUAUAAGCUACAAGCCGGGGUUAGCGUUAGAACUUAAACCAAGUCCGGGAGAGAGGGGAAAAAUAAAUCAACCAAGAAAUAAAGCGGAUGAAUGCAGUGAUUUGUUUUACCGAGGUUCGGUUCUAAAGAACCUAGUCCCCGUUGAGGUGGUCACAAAGACCGUGUCUCUUUCAACCCUUUCCCUCUCUCAAACGAUCACUUAGACUAAGUGAGCCUUUUCCUUAAUCUCCCGGGUCACUUAGACCCCGCAAGGACCACCACACACUUAGAUGUCUCUUGCUUCGAUUACAAAUCACUUGAGAAAAGAAGUGAGAAAGGAAGAAAGCAAGAGCUCAAAAAAAACAAAAUCUCUCUCUCACAAGUCACUAAGUGUUUGAGAUGAAUUGGGGACUUGGAGAGACUUUGAUCUUUUGAAUUGUGUCUAGGAGUGAAUGCUAGAGCUCUUGUAAUGAAUGUGAUACUUAGAAAAUCUUGGAUGCUUGAGGUGGUGGUGGUUGGGGGUAUUUAUAGCCCUCAACCACCAAACAACCGUUGGGGCAGGCUGCUGUCGAUGGGCGCAUUGGACACUGUCCGGUGCGUCAGCCACGUCACCCAACCGUUAGGGUUCUGGAGCUUUUGACCGUUGGAUGCUUUGUCCUCUAGUGGCACCGGACAGUUCGGUGCCGCACCGGACAGGCACUGUUCAGUGUCCGGUGCGCCUCUGACCUGCGGCUCUGACUCUGCGCGCACUGUUAUUCACUGUUCAUCUGAGCAUCGCGCUUUUGCAGUCGAUCGUUGCGCGAAGUAGUCGUUGCUCCGCUGUCACACCGGACAGUCCGGUGGCACACCGGACAGUCCGGUGAAUUAUAGCGGAGCGCGCCUGGAGAAACCCGAGAGUGGCUAGUUCAUUCUUGUGCGGACCUGGUGCACCGGACACUAUCCGGUGGCACACCGGACAGUCCGGUGCGCCAGAACAGAGCACACUCGGUUUUUUUGCUCCUUUGAAUUUGAUCCCUAACUUCAAUCUCUUAUUGGUUUGUGUUGAACCUUUAUGCACCUGUAGAACAUAUAAUCUAGAGCAAACUAGUUAGUCCAAUAUUUGUGUUGGACAUUCAACCACCAAAAUUAAUACUGGGAAAAGGUUAACCCUAUUUCCCUUUCAAUAAGAGAUCACAAUUCAUAUCAACACCCACAAUGCAAAUAUUUUGUGAAGCUAACACAAUUUGAACGGAGUAAUUUGGAGUUAAAAUGCAAGAGCUAUGAAUUUCCAAAGUUUCUAGAAUUAUUCUUAUACAUAAAAUCAUUUUCAGAUUCGAUUUUUGAUAAAUUAUAAUCCUUAGUGGACGGCAGGCAUGAUUCUCUAUAAGUACAGGGGUCUGAUUAUAAAUUUUAGGACUUGUUUGCGAGGUUCUUUGAACCCGAGAGAACUGUGGGUUGAUUUUGUAAUUACUCGAGGUCCCUUUUGAAGUUUUACCACGCCGAAGGGGUAAGAAGACUUCCUAGCCAUCAGAUUAGAAGUCCAUGGUUCAGAUUAGAUUGUAUUCUUUUAUGAACCGGUAUGCAUAUGUGGCCACAGGAUCAAGGAUCCACGACAGAAAUCACUCACGCCAUGAUCCCAACCGAUCCGUCCGAUUAUGAUCUGGCAGUUAGGAUUGAUUGCGCGAAGAGGUACGAAAUCAUCUAAUCCUGGAGGAUCAUAUCGGAACGGACGGCUAGCUGCACAUCACCCUAACGCGACUAGCCAGGGUAGCGGCAUGCUUGCCAUCGCGGCGACGCCCCUCGCCGGAGAGGGCAGAAUCGACCCCCCGGCGACCGAUCCACAACAAGCGCUGAUGCAAAACAAUGCGAAGGUGAUCGCGAGUUAGAUGGUAGACUCACCUCCAUGGAUUAGGGCGCUUCGAAACCUGCCCGCAGCACAAGGCGGCACGGCCGUGGAGGCCAAUUCCGAUGAGCAAUUCCUGGAGCUCCGGCUGACACUUUCUCGAGCCAAGCGCGAAUUCACCACCGCCAUGGUCCAAUGAUGCUCCCGGUCCAACACCCGAGGGUUGAGACGUUGACUAGCUUGACUUCCGCGGCGGUGCUGCCCUUUCCCCGCCGCGCCG